ACCUGGGUGGCUCAGUCGGUUAAGCAUCUGACUGAGGCUCAGGUCAUGAUCUCGUGGUUUGUGAGUUCGAGCCCCACAUCAGGCU
rfam:Felis catus isolate Cinnamon breed Abyssinian chromosome X, whole genome shotgun sequence.